AUUGAACGCUGGCGGCAGGCCUAACACAUGCAAGUCGAGCGCGAAAGCACUUCGGUGUGAGUAGAGCGGCGGACGGGUGAGUAACGCGUAAGAAUCUACCUAGUAGUGGGGGACAACUCGAGGAAACUCGAGCUAAUACCGCAUACGCCCUACGGGGGAAAGCGGGGGACCUUCGGGCCUCGCGCUAUUAGAUGAGCUUGCGUUGGAUUAGCUUGUUGGUGAGGUAAUGGCUCACCAAGGCUACGAUCCAUAGCUGGUCUGAGAGGAUGAUCAGCCACACCGGGACUGAGACACGGCCCGGACUCCUACGGGAGGCAGCAGUGGGGAAUAUUGCGCAAUGGGCGAAAGCCUGACGCAGCCAUGCCGCGUGUGUGAAGAAGGCCUUAGGGUUGUAAAGCACUUUCAAUUGGGAGGAAAAGUUAACGACUAAUACUCGUUAGCCUUGACGUUACCUUUAGAAGAAGCACCGGCUAACUCCGUGCCAGCAGCCGCGGUAAUACGGAGGGUGCAAGCGUUAAUCGGAAUUACUGGGCGUAAAGCGCGCGUAGGCGGCUUUUUAAGUCGGAUGUGAAAGCCCCGGGCUCAACCUGGGAACUGCAUCCGAUACUGGAAGACUAGAGUGCGAGAGAGGGAGGUAGAAUUCCAUGUGUAGCGGUGAAAUGCGUAGAUAUAUGGAGGAAUACCAGUGGCGAAGGCGGCCUCCUGGCUCGACACUGACGCUGAG
rnacentral:rRNA from 1 species